GGCUCAGUAAAUGGCAAGAAAUACUUCAGUUGCAAACCUCAACAUGGCCUCAUGGUUCGCCCGAGUCGAGCCACUUGUCGAGGAAUCAAUUGCGCCAAGUUAAUCAACGAAAUGGAAUCUGGACUUCUUGCGUAACACUAGUGGCAAUCCCGAGAGGUGCCGAAGAUUGUCAGCGACUACUUGUCAACGAUGUUUGAGUCUUGGGUUUUGGCUGGGAGUACAUGCUUUGUUUUUCCGAGAGUGUCCCGAAGAUUGUCCGACAACGGUAGACAUAGACACCGAAUGGUACAGGAAGCAAAUCGAAGCCGACUAUAUCUCGACGAAUGUCGAAGACAAGAGAGGGUCAAGGUACUUUAUAAUACCUUGAUCUUCUCUUGCCGAAGAUAAAUAUUAUCACAAAAGUGGUUUCACCCAAGACGAGUUCGCUGCGAACUUACUGAACGUAAAAAGAUAUGUUUGACUUUUCUCACUGAGUAGCUUUUAACAUCUUUUAGUCUCCUAUUUCAGAUAAAGAUGGCCGUUACACAUACAUGCGCAAAUUAAUUUAAGUUAAAAAAAAAUAUCCGUUCUGAAGAAUAGCUCGUGUCAGUCAGUUCGCAAAAUAUUUGCAUUAUCGGAAAGUUGCGUGUUUUUAGUCCUAUGAUAUUCAGAUAUCCUUUUGUAGUAGUCAUCAAAGUCCUCUAAAAAAUCUUACGUUUUUAUGGCGUCACUAUGAUACAUGUUGGUCGUUUUGUCAACCGAUUAACUGCAAAUUCUGUCAUAACUAUAUUAGUUUUGCAUUAGAUUGCUAAUUGCAUUAGUAACACCAAACUCGUCACCCGCAGCUUCACGUGUCGAAAGUCAAACUGGUGCGGGUGAUUUUGGUUUACCGCUGUGUUUUAGGUUUUACAAGUCAUAAGGAAACUGCUCUGUCGUGAAAGUGCAAUUGCUAUGCUUUCAUUUGAGUAUUGUGCUUACAUCAACUACUUUCUUAAAAUUUAGCAGGGUGAACUCUUUGUAGGAAGAUAGGUCAUCUUUGCGCGGGAAAGGUUAUAUAAGCUUAGGAUAAGAGAAAGAGUCAUCGGCGCUAUUUUUAGUCUUGAUGAUUCCUUGAAGCUCAAUACUAAAAUCAUUAGACACUCAAGGGUGAUGGUUGGAUUUUGUUGAAUAGCGCUUAACAAAAAACAGGAAACUAUUAGAAGCAAACAUGGUUAAUGACGCUGGGGAUAAAAAUGGAGUAAAAACACGUUUGAAAACUCAGGGCUUACAUUUUCAAUGCUAAUUUUGUCUCAAAAUCCUUCCAAAUUUUGGAAAAAA